GACGAACGCUGGCGGCGUGCUUAACACAUGCAAGUCGAACGCUGAAGCUUGGUGCUUGCACUGGGUGGAUGAGUGGCGCACGGGUGAGUAAUAAGUGAGUAACCUGCCCUUGACUCUGGGAUAAGCCUGGGAAACUGGGUCUAAUACUGGAUACGACAUGUCACCGCAUGGUGGUGUGUGGAAAGGGUUUUACUGGUUUUGGAUGGGCUCACGGCCUAUCAGCUUGUUGGUGGGGUAAUGGCUCACCAAGGCGACGACGGGUAGCCGGCCUGAGAGGGUGGCGCGCCACCGGGGAACGGUGGCGCGGCCCGAGAGCCGGGGGGGGGCGGCGGUGGGAAUAUUGCCCCAUGGGGGGGAGGCCUGGGUAGUGAACCCCCGGGGGGGAUUGCGACCUUUGGGGUGCAAAACCGUUACGAGCAGGGAGAAAAGAGGAUGAAGGUCAGGAAGGAAGGAGGCACGGCCAAACCGCUCC
rnacentral:rRNA from 1 species